AUUGAACGCUGGCGGCAGGCCUAACACAUGCAAGUCGAGCGAGCGGCGGACGGGUGAGUAAUGUAUGGGGAUCUGCCCUAUAGAGGGGGUUAACUACUGGAAACGGUGGCUAAUACCGCAUACCAUAGGAUGGACCCAUAUGGGAUUAGCUAGUAGGUGGGGUAAAGGCUCACCUAGUCGACGAUCUCUAGCCGGUCUGAGAGGAUGAUCAGCCACACUGGGACUGAGACACGGCCCAGACUCCUACGGGAGGCAGCAGUGGGGAAUAUUGCACAAUGGGCGAAAGCCUGAUGCAGCAAUGCCGCGUGUAUGAAGAAGGCCUUAGGGUUGUAAAGUUCUGUCAGCAGGGAGGCGUUACCCGCAGAAGAAGCACCGGCUAACUCCGUGCCAGCAGCCGCGGUAAUAC
rnacentral:rRNA from 1 species